rnacentral:rRNA from 1 species
UACGUAGGGGGCAAGCGUUGUCCGGAAUCAUUGGGCGUAAAGAGCGUGUAGGCGGUCCGGUAAGUCGGCUGUGAAAGUCCAGGGCUCAACCCUGGGAUGCCGGUCGAUACUGCCGGACUAGAGUUCGGAAGAGGCGAGUGGAAUUCCCGGUGUAGCGGUGAAAUGCGCAGAUAUCGGGAGGAACACCAAUGGCGAAGGCAGCUCGCUGGGACGGUACUGACGCUGAGACGCGAAAGCGUGGGGAGCGAACAGG